rnacentral:rRNA from 1 species
AACGAACGCUGGCGGCAUGCCUAACACAUGCAAGUCGAACGAAACCUUCAGGUCUUGUGUCGCACGGGUGCGUAACGCGUGGGAACCUGCACUUAUGUUCGGAAUAACUCUCCGAAAGGGGUGCUAAUACCGGACAAUGUCUUCUAACCAAAGAUUUAUCGCCUUUGGAUGUGCGCGCGUUGGAUUAGCUAGUUGUUAUGGUAAUAGCCUACCAAGGCGAAGUUCCAUAGCUGGUCUGAGAGAAUGAUCAGACACACUGGGACUGAGAAACGGCCGAGAAUCCUACGGGAGGGGGGAGAGGGGGAUGUUGCACAGUGGGCGAAAGAGUGAUGCAGUUAUGAAGGGUGAAAGAUGAAGGCCUUAGGGUUGUAAAGCUCUUUUAACUGGGCUGAUAAUGACAGUACCGGGAGAAUAAGCGCCGGCUAACUACGUG